rnacentral:rRNA from 1 species
UACGUAGGGUGCAAGCGUUGUCCGGAAUUAUUGGGCGUAAAGAGCUCGUAGGCGGUUCGUCGCGUCGGCUGUGAAGACCCGGAGCUCAACUCCGGGCCUGCAGUCGAUACGGGCGGACUUGAGUGUUGCAGGGGAGACUGGAAUUCCUGGUGUAGCGGUGAAAUGCGCAGAUAUCAGGAGGAACACCGGUGGCGAAGGCGGGUCUCUGGGCAACUACUGACGCUGAGGAGCGAAAGCGUGGGGAGCGAACAGG